UUUUGCAUAACAAGUCCAGAUGGCACUCAAAGUUUGCUACAUUAGUUCAUACCUAAUUAAACACACACAAGAAUUGCUUAGCCAUCCAAGCUUUUCCUAGCUCCCUGUGUCUCCUUGUUUUAAGCCUACAGGAAUUCUGUAAACAAUUCAUAACUCUUUUUUUUUACAUAUACUCCAAUCUACUAAGACCUCAAUCUUGAAUCUUUAUUCAAUUUAUUACCAAAAAGAUACAUUCAUUUGGAGUAUGGGAUAAAAUUCAUUUACUACAGUGAAAAUGACAUUAUAUCAUCAUAUAGAUUCUCUGGGCCCACUCUUUCAGGCCUAAGCAAGCUACCUCUGCUCCUCAGGGUUCUCCGGAACCUUGAGGGAGGUUGAGUGUCUCUGCCAUCUGCUCAAGACCCUGCUUCGUUAUAUUUUCAUCAUUGUUGGGAGGGGCAGUGACUAAGAGUCCAGUUCCAUCUAACCAUUUAGAUGGAUAGAUAUUUGCUUCAAAAAUAUAACUACAGCAACCAUCAAAAUAUUUUCUCCAACACCUCUGGGACAUAUUCUUUUGUAUACCACCUUUGGUUCUCUCUCAGCCUUUUCUUGAUGGGAAAAACCAAAGGUCGUCCUAAAGACUAUUAUUUUCUUCUCAUGUCAUCAGCCCUGGGCUGGCUGAAACAUUCAGCCUGUGCUUCAAUUCCCAAAUUCCUGGGGCUUGCUCUUCUCAUCUUUUGAAGCUCCUAGGGUCAGAGAUUCCAUUCCUCUCACAGAUACCAUGAGUAAAAACAUCACUGGCAUCCCAAGAGCUGGCAAAGAGGAGGUACCUCCAUAGUCAGUCACAAAAUCUUCUACAUAUGGUUAACUCACUGGAACCAGUUAUAGAAUGUCUACACAUGUAAUCAUAUGUUGGACAAGGGAUAGGAAAUAUUUUCUAGCAGCACAAAGUGAAAACUAACACCACCAGAAUCUCCUAAAUUCAAGAAAAUAAGCUUUUUAUGAUACGUUUCAUCAUAUGGUUAGCUCACUGGAACCAGUUAUAGAAAGCCUACUCAUGUUCCACAAUCACCCUAGGGAAUUGCUCUUAUGCAUGAUCAUAAUUCUCCCAAAAGAAGGCUUCCCAAGUUCCCCAUGUGAAGACACACAAUCCCAAAUGCUCUGCACAUGUACCAGACACACAUUACAAAAAUGUCACAGCGUUCAUGUCUAAACAGCUUUAGCUAAGCUGCUGCCAUUUUGAUGGAGUCAGAAUUGUCAGUUUCUCCUACCUUAUAUUCUGCAUUUUGUAGUGGAGCAGAUGUGACCAAAGUUUGCUUUAUUGAGCAUUCUUGAUCUUAUAGUCAAAAGGGUUCAAGGAAAAUACCUCAUGACAUCUCCCUUCGUGACCAGUUUUUGUCUCUGAUUCUCCUUCUUAUGACUCACCUAUACUCCUUGAAAUCCAGAGAAACAUCUAUUUGGAACUUCCAUGACCAGGGCCAAGAGAAAUUCUCUACUGAGAUAAGUGAGGCAGAGAUAAGACUGCCAGAAAAAAAAGAAAGGAGGGUCAUUGAAGUAUUUUUAAAUUUACAGAAGAGGACAUAAGGAAAACCAUAAGUAAACACAGAAAAAUAAGACAUGUUUGAAAGUUAUAUGUUGAAUUUUUAUAAACUUUAAAGGAAAAGUCAGUUGUAGAGAUUCAUGGUUUUGUAUACAAAUCCUCUUUUCCUGCUCUACUUUGUGAAUGGAAAUGCUUAUUUUAUUUGGUGUUUAUUAAAUUCAGAAUAAAAUAAUAAAAUAAAAUUGGGUGAGAAAAAGAGAAAUUCUCCCCUGGGAAUCCCAUGUCCAUGUGUUCUCCCAGGCUUGCAGCUAUACUCCAGGACUAUGAGUCAAUCAGUAAAAGUGAAACUCAAAAAUACUGCGUCUGCCUUUUUAAAAGUUCCACUAGAGCAUGUGAUGCCAGCGCAAUCUCUGACAACUGCCCUUUGCCAUAGUCCCCCAGAGGUUACUUAGCUUCGCAUGUCCGUCUGUCUUUGGUACCCAAGACGGAAAACUUCAGGGAAAAACAGAUGCCAGCUGUCCAUUGAGAAGGUACUCCAGCAAAGCUACAGAUAAAAUUGGAUACAAAAGAUGCCUUCCUGAUCAGACAAGAGACUCUCCUUUCAGCUCUAGAAUUCUUACAAUGGGGUCUCUACUCUCCCAAUGACUCAUACGUGGAAGAAAUCUUGCUUCUUAAGAUUUUGCUGAGAAGAGGCAUAGCAUGGAGGGAGAGUGCUGGACCUGGAGUCAGAGACACCCAAGUCUGAAUUAUUUGUCUAACUAGCUCUAUAACUAUGGGGGAAAGCACUUCACUACUUUGUAAACUGGGGGUCGUAAUACCAUGCAGAACUGUUGUGAGGCUGAAGAAUGAUAGAGAAGGGAGAAAAAAGCUGAAGGGAAGAGAAGAACAGGCAACAGAAAAUACAGAGCUUGACAGGCUCUGAAUCCAUAAGUCUUUUCUAUUAAAUCACAGAAUCUCAGAAUAGAAGAAUGCUUUCAGAGGCACCAUUGUCCAACUGACACCUGGAAAAAACGAGAACAUUGCUCUGAACUGAAUUCAUCUAAGAAAUUGGCCUUCAAAGAAAAGAGUACAGAAUUCAGGAAGGAGUUAACCUAAACACAUGAAGCCUGGUGCUCUUAUUUAUAUCCCACACUAGACUGCAAACAACUUGGGGUCUAGACAAUCAAGAGGACAAUAUACCAAGCCCGUUUAUAGCAUCUGCCUGUUUCUAAAGUACCGAAAAUUUAACAGUCUGCUAAGCUGGUUCUAGCUGACUCCAUGACACCCUUCAACUCAACUAUGCCUUGAACUCUCUCAAACUGUUUAAUAUAAGAUGUGAUAUCGCUUACUGGACAAGUAGGUGCAAGAUGCCAUGCUGGGGAAUGAAGGAGGAAGAAAAAUCCUCUUCCCCCUUUACACCCUCUGGUAGGGGCACAGGAGUCAUAUUCUGCAAAGCUGCUUUCUGUCUUGAACAUCUCAAACUCUUGAACUGUCUUAGGGUUAUAAGGCCAUCUAGUACAUGGCCAAUCUUUCCCAACAAUGGCCAACUUCCCUUGAAAUUCAGUCAGAGAACAUUUCAUGUUUUAUAGAGGGUUGACAGUAUACAGAAACAUCUAUACACUUCAUCACCAUAUAAAUGCCUAUCUACCUUGGUCAUCUGCCCUUUACUUUCUAUAAUUACAUCAUUUAUCCGAGGGGCUUGGGUUGGGGGGAGGGGGUGGAGGAAGACAACCAAAUCCACCAACCCUUGAGAAGCUUAGAAUGUUAGAACCUGAAGGGACUUCAAGGAUCACAACACAAUGGGAUUUGGAGGUGGAAUGGACAUUACAGACAAUCUAAUCCAAAUUCUUCACCCAAUAUCACACAUCUUCAAGAAGCAGUGUGGAAUGUUGAAAGAGUACUAAAGUCAGAGGACAUUGGUUCAAAUCCAAGCUCUUAGACUUACUACAUAUGAGACCUUCAGCAUAUUACAUUGCCUCUCUGAGUCUUUGUUAGAUCAUCUAUAAAAUGAGACUUUAAGAAUACACAAUCUAUAUAAAGUCCCUCUGACUCCAGAUAAUACAUACUUAUAUAUUCAUUAAACGACUUCCUUUUUAAAAUGUCAGUUUGUGCACUUUGUUCCAUAUUUAAUUUUCAUCUACCAAGUCAUAUUUUUAACUUCUCUAAAUUAUUUUUUAUUUCAGUCAGCGCUGCCUCCAGUGGGGUCAUUCCUACAACCCACAAUGGUACUAGUAGAUUAGGUCUUGUCAACAUGAACUUUGUAAUGACUAUAGAUAUGUUGAAGCUUCCCUUCUUUACAGGGGAGUGGAACAUUGGAGUAAAACAACAACCGGCCAAUUAGAAGGACUUUUGAAGCCCAGAGAUGUUUGACAUACUAGUGAUCCUUUGAGAGUGAACUCUAGCCAAAUUUGGAGAUGCCUGUAGCUUCCAGAAACCACAGAGUCAGCUUUGAUCAGCUCAAGGGCAACCUUGAGCCGAUGAUACAGACUCGAGACUUUGUUUGGGACUUUCUAAACAUCCUGCUGCCUGGCUUAUUGUGUCUACAGAUGUCUUCUCCCUUAACCCUUGCUCCUGACCUGAAAGCCUCUAGAAACUAUACUUUCUCACCCUUUUUCCACUCCCUUUUGAGCAGCUGAGAACUCUCGCUCCUUCUCUGAUCCCUUGCAAGCUUCUCUCGCCACAUUCUUCUUCUCAGACAAUAAACACUUUGUAAUCUGUGA